CCUACGGGAGGCAGCAGUGGGGAAUAUUGCGCAAUGGGCGAAAGCCUGACGCAGCGACGCCGCGUGAGGGAUGAAGGUCUUCGGAUCGUAAACCUCUGUCAGCAGGGAAGAACGGUCACUGUGCUAAUCAGCAGUGAAUUGACGGUACCUGCAAAGGAAGCACCGGCUAACUCCGUGCCAGCAGCCGCGGUAAUACGGGGGGUGCGAGCGUUAAUCGGAAUUACUGGGCGUAAAGCGCUCGUAGGCGGUAUGUCAAGUCAAGGGUGAAAUACCCGCGCUCAACGUGGGAACUGCCUUUGAAACUGGAAGACUGGAGUGCGUGAGAGGAGAGUGGAAUUCCAGGUGUAGGAGUGAAAUCCGUAGAUAUCUGGAGGAACAUCAGUGGCGAAGGCGAUUAUCUGGCACAUAACUGACGCUGAGGAGCGAAAGCGUGGGUAGCAAACAGGAUUAGAUACCCCUGUAGUC
rnacentral:rRNA from 1 species